GCAUGACGUCAGUUAUUGCUUGGGCCAAAGCAAAUCUUUCCUCUGUAUCCAGAGCAUGCUGGUAAGCCUCAAAGUAACCAUCUAGAAGCUGAAGGGAUAUUCAAAAUUUUCAGAGUUUCCACAUCGGGUGGGGAUGUACCUGACGUUUAUUCUCUAAGAGAGCAGCUUCACAAGUCCAAAUGUCAAGCAGCACCGCAAAUCGAUCCACAGAUGCAUGCGCCCACGCUAAGAGGUUGUCAUCCCUGGAUUGAUGAAAUGAAAAAUGCCUUAUUAUCGGUGGAUGCCUUAUUAUCGGGGAGGUCUUAUUAUCGGGGGGAUGCCUUAUAUUACAACGAGAGACAAAACUUACCCUCCAAUGAGAGAAUGCUGUUCCAAGCCAACUCCUGGGACUGAAGGAGGAGGGAUGCAGCCCAGAGGAAUUUUUAGUUUCACUCAAUAUAUUUCUUGAAUGCCCUUGCAUCCUGAAACUGAGUGUCAUGCUUCUGAUGCCUCCAGUCCCAACCAGCCUGAGGUUGGAAUGUGUAAUGGUAGCCUUAAAUCUGGGUUUCCUGCCCAGCAGUGUGGUGUACUAACUGUACACUGAAUGCCCAGCUCACAGAUUACAGUCUUAUCAAAAUGAUAUAGUCAUAAUACACAUGAGCUUGUCUAACUGGACUCACAUGACGGGUGAGAACUAUAAAAUUUGGCACCACCAGCUUGAAGUUACAGCAUAAUCAGUUAAUAAGGCAGAGCAGGCUUGAGGCUCUGUAGAUUAGUCUGCCAGGAAUGCAGUUAUAUUAUUGUUAUAAACUUCCUAAGAGACAGCCUUUGCAGUGUGUUAACGAAUCAUAUUAGAAACUGUUGUUAGGGAAACACUGGAGGAUGUGCUACCAAUUGCAUUGCCAGUUGAACUG